GAUGAACGCUGGCGGCGUGCCUAAUACAUGCAAGUCGAACGCUUCACUUCGGUGAAGAGUGGCGAACGGGUGAGUAAUACAUAAGUAACCUGGCAUCUACAGGGGGAUAACUGAUGGAAACGUCAGCUAAGACCGCAUAGGUGUAGAGAUCGCAUGAACUCUAUAUGAAAAGUGCUACGGGACUGGUAGAUGAUGGACUUAUGGCGCAUUAGCUGGUUGGUAGGGUAACGGCCUACCAAGGCGACGAUGCGUAGCCGACCUGAGAGGGUGACCGGCCACACUGGAACUGAGACAAGGCCCAGACUCCUACGGGAGGCAGCAGUAGGGAAUUUUCGGCAAUGGGGGAAACCCUGACCGAGCAACGCCGCGUGAAGGAAGAAGUAAUUCGUUAUGUAAACUUCUGUCAUAGAGGAAGAACGGUGGAUAUAGGGAAUGAUAUCCAAGUGACGGUACUCUAUAAGAGAGCCACGGCUAACUACGUGCCAGCCGCCGCAGUAA
rnacentral:rRNA from 1 species